AUGCACGCUGGCGGCGUGCCUAAUACAUGCAAGUCGAGCGAACAGACGAGGAGCUUGCUCCUCUGACGUUAGCGGCGGACGGGUGAGUAACACGUGGAUAACCUACCUAUAAGACUGGGAUAACUUCGGGAAACCGGAGCUAAUACAGGAUAAUAUAUUGAACCGCAUGGUUCAAUAGUGAAAGACGGUUUUGCUGUCACUUAUAGAUGGAUCCGCGCCGCAUUAGCUAGUUGGUAAGGUAACGGCUUACCAAGGCAACGAUGCGUAGCCGACCUGAGGGGGUGAUCGGCCACACUGGAACUGAGACACGGUCCAGACUCCUACGGGAGGCAGCAGUAGGGAAUCUUCCGCAAUGGGCGAAAGCCUGACGGAGCAACGCCGCGUGAGUGAUGAAGGUCUUCGGAUCGUAAAACUCUGUUAUUAGGGAAGAACAAAUGUGUAAGUAACUAUGCACGUCUUGACGGUACCUAAUCAGAAAGCCACGGCUAACUACGUG
rnacentral:rRNA from 1 species